rnacentral:rRNA from 1 species
CCUACGGGUGGCAGCAGUGGGGAAUAUUUCGCAAUGGGCGAAAGCCUGACGCAGCGACGCCGCGUGAGGGAUGAAGGUCUUCGGAUCGUAAACCUCUGUCAGCAGGGAAGAACGGUCACUGUGCUAAUCAGCAGUGAAUUGACGGUACCUGCAAAGGAAGCACCGGCUAACUCCGUGCCAGCAGCCGCGGUAAUACGGAGGGUGCGGGCUUUAAUCGGAAUUACUGGGAGUAAAGCGCUCGUAGGCGGUAUGUCAAGUCAAGGGUGAAAUCCCCGCGCUCAACGUGGGAACUGCCUUUGAAACUGGCAAACUGGAGUGUGUGAGAGGAUAGUGGAAUUCCAGGUGUAGGAGUGAAAUGCGUAGAUAUCUGGAGGAACAUCAGUGGCGAAGGCGACUAUCUGGCACAUAACUGACGCUGAGGAGCGAAAGCGUGGGUAGCAAACAGGAUUAGAUACCCGGGUAGUC